rnacentral:lncRNA from 1 species
GAAAGAAGCUUCUGAUUAAAUUGGUCAGCAUAUAAUUUUGUAGAAUUUUACUUUUUUAAUCUAAAAAUUCAACUGCUCUAUUACCAGAAAAGCUAUUUUUAAUGUGUAUUAUUUUACUGUAUUUUAUUUAAAUUCUUCAGAAAUACUAAGCUGACAAAAUAUGAGCUCAUAUUUUCCCUGAUAACUGGUAGCUAUAGUUAUAUUUGCUAAGAUUUGGGUGCAUGAGGCUUGGCUUUGGUUAGUUCCCUUGAUCUUACUUUCUGAUAAAAGAAAGCUCUGGGUUAUUGGCACCUUAUUUAUUUCUAUCACCCAGCCUUUGAUAGGCUUUGAUGGAAAUCUGUUCCAAAAGAAAUCUUAGAUAGGACUUUAUAAAGCUGGGCCAAGCCAUGGAUUUGUACCCUUAAAUACCUGUGAGUUGGUUAAACUCCUGUAUUUUUGAGGUUCCAAGAGCAUAGUGUUUCUAAGUCUGUUAGAAAGUGACAUUUUUUU